AUUGAACGCUGGCGGCAGGCUUAACACAUGCAAGUCGAGCGGGGUGAUGGUGCUUGCACUAUCACUUAGCGGCGGACGGGUGAGUAAUGCUUAGGAAUCUGCCUAUUAGUGGGGGACAACAUCUCGAAAGGGAUGCUAAUACCGCAUACGUCCUACGGGAGAAAGCAGGGGAUCACUUGUGACCUUGCGCUAAUAGAUGAGCCUAUGUCGGAUUAGCUAGUUGGUGGGGUAAAGGCCUACCAAGGCGACGAUCUGUAGCGGGUCUGGGAGGAUGAUCGGCCACACUGGGACUGAGACACGGCCCAGACUCCUACGGGAGGCAGCAGUGGGGAAUAUUGGACAAUGGGGGGAACCCUGAUCCAGCCAUGCCGCGUGUGUGAAGAAGGCCUUAUGGUUGUAAAGCACUUUAAGCGAGGAGGAGGCUCUUUUGGUUAAUACCCAAGAUGAGUGGACGUUACUCGCAGAGUAGGCACCGGCUAACUCUGUGCCAGCCGCCGCAGUAA
rnacentral:rRNA from 1 species